UGUGUGCUUCGAAGUAAUACAUCCCCAAUUUAUAUCAAGCUAUCAACUGCUUUCCGGGAAUUCACAUGGUAUUUGUAAAUGACUCUGGCUUUCAGUGAUAGUUUAGCUACGAUAUUGAAGCACAGACUGGAUAGGAGAUGGCUUUUGCAGACAACACUAGCCCAGCAAGCCUCAUGCGAACCUGUCUACACCUCAUGCACUAACUUGCACUUCUUCAUACCGUAGUUUGUGGAAGGUAGCAUGCAAUAAAAAGAAUGUUCUCACCAA